AGAGAGCUUGCUCUCGGGUGACGAGUGGGGGACGGGUGAGUAAUGUCUGGGGAUCUGCCCGAUAGAGGGGGAUAACCACUGGAAACGGUGGCUAAUACCGCAUAACGUCGCAAGACCAAAGAGGGGGACCUUCGGGCCUCUCACUAUCGGAUGAACCCCGAUGGGAUUAGCUAGUAGGCGGGGUAAUGGCCCACCUAGGCGACAAUCCCUAGCUGGGCUGAGAGGAUGACCCGCCACACUGGAACUGAGACACGGUCCAGACUCCUACGGGAGGCAGCAGUGGGGAAUAUUGCACAAUGGGCGCAAGCCUGAUGCAGCCAUGCCGCGUGUAUGAAAAAGGCCUUCGGGUUGUAAAGUACUUUCAGCGGGGAGGAAGGCGAUGGGGUUAAUAACCCCGUCGAUUGACGUUACCCGCAGAAAAAGCACCGGCUAACUCCGUGCCAGCAGCCGCGGUAAUACGGAGGGUGCAAGCGUUAAUCGGAAUUACUGGGCGUAAAGCGCACGCAGGCG
rnacentral:rRNA from 1 species